AAUAAAGUGCCUGAUUAAAGGAUUAUUUUGAUAGAAUAAAUUAAGUAAUAAUUUAAAUUACCUUUAUUA
rnacentral:tRNA from 1 species